rnacentral:piRNA from 1 species
GAAGAUAUCACACGGCGUCUGGAUGA